rnacentral:sRNA from 1 species
GCCAGGUGAGGUGGCACACACCUGUAAUCCCAGCUGCUUGGGAGGCUGAGGCAGGAGGAUUGUAAAUUCAAAGCCAGCCUCAG